CAUGGCCUGGACUCCUGUCCUCCUGCUCCCCCUCCUCACCCUCUGCCCAGGGUCCAGGUCUCAGGCUGUGGUGACUCAGGAGCCCUCCCUGACUGUGUCCCCAGGAGGGACAGUCACUCUCACCUGUGCCUCCAGCACUGGAGCUGUCACCAGCAGUAACUAUCCAUACUGGAUCCAGCAGAAGUCUAGCCAAGGCCCCACGACACUGAUUUACCAUGCAAGCAGUAAACUCUCCUGGACCCCUGCCCGGUUCUCAGGCUCCCUCCUCAGGGGCAAAGCUGCCCUGACCCUGUCGGGGGGCCCAGCCUGAGGCCGAGGCCGAGUACUACUGUGGUCUGUGGUACGGCAACCA